UGCCUUCAUGUGUUGCCCAUUCAUUGCUUUCUACGGUGAAUGUGGUGUCAGCGAAGGCACACAGCAUAUCUUGGAUCGGCCUUAGCAAGGUCUCUCUCCGGUGGCCUUGUACUAAGUUCUAUACCAAGUACAGAA
ensembl:snoRNA